CAAGGAGGGCAGCACAGCGGCCAGCCCAAUCAGUGUGAGCUUGGGGAAGGCAGCGUAGGUCUGCAGGCCGUCCAUGCGGAGGCGCAGGUGCAGCUUCUGGGAGAUGCCUGCAGUGCGGUGCAAGAUGGUGCAGUGCUCUGUGUGUGUGUUUGUGUGUGUGUGUGUGUGUGUGUGUGUGUGUGUGUGUGUGUGUGUGUGUGUGUGUGUGUGUGUGUGUGUGUGUGUGUGUGUGUGUGU
rnacentral:lncRNA from 1 species